GCUUUUUUAGGAAACAAUGGGAAUCUACUCCUGUGUGUACUUUGGAAAAUUUCAUCAAAUGGCUGUCUGCAUUUCGCAGCAGCAUACCGGAGAGCUGACCUAAUGAUGCCACGUGAACUCCUUGAUCCCCUGCUGUUGAUGAAAAAGGAGGAAACCUGAACAGCAACAAGUGACAAGCUUGAAGCUUCUCAUGAGACACCACCUAUUUCAAAUAAUGCAAGAGAAUGCAAAAAAUUAGCCACAGUCUAAUCUCACCAGCAUUCUUCUGUCUGUAUCUGUCCAGUGCACGCGAUUUUCAGAUAAUUUUGCAUUUAGAGGAUAUAUGUAUCUCACUUAUAAGGUCACUUUUUUUUGUAUUGAUCACGCUACCACUUUGUUGGCAAUUGAAUUAACUGUCAGAACUGUGUUUUAAUAAACUAGA